UACGAAGGGGGCUAGCGUUGUUCGGAAUCACUGGGCGUAAAGGGCGCGUAGGCGGCCCUGGUAAGUCUGCGGUGAAAGCCCGGGGCUCAACCCCGGGUCGGCCGCGGGUACUGCCGGGCUGGAGUGCCGUAGGGGCAGGCGGAAUUCCGGGUGUAGCGGUGGAAUGCGUAGAGAUCCGGAAGAACACCGGUGGCGAAGGCGGCCUGCUGGGCGGCGACUGACGCUGAGGCGCGACAGCGUGGGGAGCAAACGGG
rnacentral:rRNA from 1 species